rnacentral:rRNA from 1 species
AGAUUGAACGCUGGCGGCAUGCCUAACACAUGCAAGUCGAACGGGAGUAGCAAUACUCUAGUGGCGGACGGGUGAGGAAUACGUAGGGAUUUGCCCUUAAGUGGGGGAUAACCCGGGGAAACCCGGAUUAAUACCGCAUGACCUCGAAAGAGCAAAGUGGGGGAUCGCAAGACCUCACGCUUUUGGAGAAGCCUACGUCGGAUUAGCUAGUUGGUGAGGUAAUGGCUCACCAAGGCGACGAUCCGUAACUGGUCUGAGAGGAUGAUCAGUCACACCGGAACUGAGACACGGUCCGGACUCCUACGGGAGGCAGCAGUGGGGAAUAGUAGGACAAGUGGGCGCAAGCCUGGAUCCAGCAAUGCCGCGUGUGUGAAGAA